CAGUGAUAAACAAAGCAUACAAAACAACUGUGUGAAGCCACUAGAGCAUGACCAUAAUUAUGCAGAAGCCAGAGGGGAGUUGACACAUGGAAGAAGAAAAUGACCAUGGGCUAGUGCCCAAACAUCGCUUGAAGCACUCAGGAAGCUGAUAGGUGGAAGGUGAUGGCCCGAGGAGUGCAGGUAGGAGUGGGCGACAGGGAAGCCCCCCACCAAAGAAGGUGCCUUGGCAGGCCUUUGUGCUCUUCUCUUGUAUUUCAUGUUCCAGUGCCAUACCCUGUGAUUUUCAUCAUUUAUGAGUGUGAACAAAGAGGCUGCUGAUUCACAGGGAAAGGAAAUGGCAAAGGUUCUGAAACUUCCUGUUUGUCUGAUAUCAGCAAAGAUAUCUGCAUUAUGCAAAUACCCUCACUCCCGAAAAAUGCAGGCAUGUACACACACACACAGGCACACGCACCCUCUCCCUGGCCCUGUGCACUGUGUCUCCUCUGUACUGAGAACAUUGAAAAAUGAUUCCACUCACAUGGUAGCCAAGGUACUGGGGGAACCUGCCAUAGAAAUGUAUGAUCAUUAAAAUAGCAGCGUUUGCAUGUGGUUUGAAUUGCUUAGCAGAGGUCUCUUCCAGGUAAGUCCUUGCUCUGGCCCCUGGCCCGGGGCUGGUUUGGUUUCCACCUGGCAGAGCCUGUGAGUCAGGGACCCGUUAUGAGGGAAGCAGAUGUGUGAAGAGGCCUCAUCCUGGCCCCAGGCUCCUGUCCAGCCCAGGAGCUCCAUUUCCUCGUGGUUCAUUCUUCCCUCAAGGGGCUCUUGGAAUGUGCUGUAUCCCGCUCCCAAGCCCCCAUAUCAGUUCGGGAUUGAGCCCAAGCCCGUGGCUUGCUGAGCUGGUCUGUGAUUCCAGUGUUGACCCCUGGCAAGGACUCGAGAUCCAGCCUGCAGGAGCAGCUGGUGGCUGCCUCCAUGCUGAGGAACUUUUUAAAAAGCUGAAUGUAAGCUUCGAUUUUAAUAGGUGAAAGUGAAAAUGACAUGUGACUUCCAGAAAAUUCUCACAGAUUCAAAAGAAUUGUUCUUUGUCAUGAGUUGAAUAGCAUUCUUCAAACAAAUGAAUGCUUUUUCUCAUAUUCAGAGUUGCCUGAAUUAGGGGAAAUGGAUAUAAAUUGUUGCAAGACAGAAAUUUGGUUAGCUAUAAAUUAAAAUAAUUUUUUUGGUUUUUUUA